GGCGGCAUAACUCAGCUGGUAGAGUACCCGGUUCAUACCCGGUAUGUCAUCUGUUCGAAUCAGAUUGCCGCUACCA
rnacentral:tRNA from 4 species